GGUGUUUUCAGAUGUGUGGUUUUUAAAUGUCGAAAGUUGGACGUGGUAUGAAGUAUCAGUAAACAACAGCAUAUACGCUGCACCGCAACUCUGGUCACACCCAGCAAUCAUGAUGGAUCAAACUGUAGUAGUCUUCGCUAGCCCUGUCACGUCAACAGUCAACUCAGCAGCCGCUAGUCUUAUGACUGGUGUACCGCAGGCUCUGAUGAAAAUGUACUCCCUCGAUUGCAGUGAACUGGAAACGAGUCGGAAGUGCUCAUGGCGACCGGUUUUGAGCAACAACAAAUCAAUACCGGCAAGUUCCCUUCAUUCGGUUAAUGUCUGUGAAGAUAUGAUCCUUAUUUUUGGAGGGCUCAGUCAUAAACAGACUGUUGAAACAGCGAAUAACACUUUAGUGUUCGUAACACCGUUUUGGACAGAUUGAAUAACCGUAAUUGAACAGUGUUUAUAUGGCAGCCGAGUUGACCUGGUUAGCGAUACAGCCAGGCAGAGUUUUUCAACUUGCACAGCUUGGAACGAUCCAAAAAUAUAAAUCGCACUUGAAUGAAGGUUUUCCCCCGUAUUAAAAAUGGUAUUUACAGUAGAUACUCAAAGAAAAAUGGAAACAAAAUUUAUGUUUGAGUCAUUUGAAGGAAUGUUAAGAUUAUUUACAAAUUCUUUUUACAAAUUCUCCCAAACUAUCUUAAUUUUUGAGAUUUUUGGAACCAGAGUGCCUGCCAUCCGCCAUCUUGAUUAGAUCAAAUUAAAUGACGUCACAACCGGGGUAGACAUUUUAAACUGAAAGAAUAGUAUCGAUGGAAAGCUUAUACAUAGCUUGCGAUUUAAUUUAAAACGGACAAUAGUAAAGAUUUAGCAUUAAAAUGUCACGAGAAUUGCUGAAGAUACAAAAUAUUGUAAUCCUGGUUGUGAUGUCACGCAUAUAUGAAGUGUAAUAUCUUUUAUACCAAAAACGAUAAAGAAAGUCUGUAAUAUUAAGACUCGAAC